rnacentral:rRNA from 1 species
UGAGGAAUAUUGGUCAAUGGGGGCAACCCUGAACCAGCCAUGCCGCGUGAAGGAAGACGGUCCUAAGGAUUGUAAACUUCUUUUGUACGGGGGUAAAGACAGAUACGUGUAUUUGUUUGAAAGUACUGUACGAAUAAGCAUCGGCUAACUCC